rnacentral:lncRNA from 1 species
CACGGUUAUUCAUUUUCAUCAGUGGAGGGUGCCAUAGAUAUUCCGCCCCUUCGAUUUCCAUGAGGAUCUGUGCACGAGGAGCAAAGAAAGGAGUAUAGGAAUCAUACCUAUUAUACAUCGGCCUUGGACUCCAUCGUCGGGGUGAGGGUCAUUUAUCGGACGGUGGCCUACUUGAUUCGACCAGAGCCCCACUCUUCUUCUACUUUUUCUUUUGAUCUUUGCUUUCUGUCUGGCGCCAGUUAGAACUCCUUCGUCCGCGUGCAUGUAUUUGUAUGC